CCCCCAGUGGCUCUGACAGGCAGCCAGGCUUGCCAGCACUGCUCUGCUCAAAGCAUCCUGCAAAGGCCGUGCUUAUUUAUUUGCUUUUGUAAGCUUCAUCAGUUCUUCCAAUUUUCACCCUGAAAAUGAUCCUUCAAACUCAGCCGCUGGAUAAGACACCCUGAAAUGGACAUGCCUAAUGUGAAACAUAGGUGCUUGAUUGGGUUGGGCUAUGAUCGUCUGUAGAAGGUUGACUAAAUGGGCGUCCAGUGUCUUAUUUGUAGCUCAGAGAGACAACCUUCUGGCUACAGUGGUAAGAACUGAUGUCUCCUCCAGGUGCUUUUGAUGGGCCAGCUUCUCGGCCAUUCGUGGCUGCAGCCAGUGGAAAAAGGACUUCACCAUUGCUUAUAAACCAUGAAUCAGUGUCCGCCUUUGCUAACGGCUUCCUUGGGGAAAAGUCACAGAUACUGGAAAUUUCAGAUUGGCUUCACAUGGUGGAUGGGACGCUCACCAGACUGCAUCCCUACAGUUAAUAUAGUGCCUACUGCAUAAAAGGGCAAAUCCUUAAAACUGAGACACCAAGACAGAAAACUACACCUUGGAGACUGCACACAAUUUCCUUCUACUGCUGUUUUGAAAGGAGACCCUGUUUGUAGCACGUUGUUACAGCAGCCCUAGCAAACGAACACAGAGAGUGUGUGUGCCCACUGCUGCCCAAGAUGCUGGCCAAUGGGACAGGAGCUUG